rnacentral:rRNA from 1 species
CGGGUGAGUAACACGUGGGUAACCUACCUAUAAGACUGGAAUAACUUCGGGAAACCGGAGCUAAUGCCGGAUAACAUUUGGAACCGCAUGGUUCUAAAGUAAAAGAUGGUUUUGCUAUCACUUAUAGAUGGACCCGCGCCGUAUUAGCUAGUUGGUAAGGUAACGGCUUACCAAGGCAACGAUACGUAGCCGACCUGAGAGGGUGAUCGGCCACACUGGAACUGAGACACGGUCCAGACUCCUACGGGAGGCAGCAGUAGGGAAUCUUCCGCAAUGGACGAAAGUCUGACGGAGCAACGCCGCGUGAGUGAUGAAGGUUUUCGGAUCGUAAAACUCUGUUAUUAGGGAAGAACAAAUGUGUAAGUAACUGUGCACAUCUUGACGGUACCUAAUCAGAAAGCCACGGCUAACUACGUGCCAGCAGCCGCGGUAAUACGUAGGUGGCAAGCGUUAUCCGGAAUUAUUGGGCGUAAAGCGCGCGUAGGCGGUUUCUUAAGUCUGAUGUGAAAGCCCACGGCUCAACCGUGGAGGGUCAUUGGAAACUGGGAAACUUGAGUACAGAAGAGGAAAGUGGAAUUCCAUGUGUAGCGGUGAAAUGCGCAGAGAUAUGGAGGAACACCAGUGGCGAAAGGCGACUUUCUGGUCUGUAACUGACGCUGAUGUGCGAAAGCGUGGGGGAUCAAAC